rnacentral:misc_RNA from 1 species
GAUGAAGAACGCAGUGAAAUGCGAUACGUAAUGUGAAUUGCAGAAUUCAGUGAAUCAUCGAAUCUUUGAACGCAUAUUGCGCUCUCUGGUAUUCCGGAGAGCAUGCUUGUUUGAGUAUCAGUAAACACCUCAACUUCCAUAUCUUUUUUGAAAUGGGAGUUGGACUUGAGUGAUCCCAACGCUUUUCCUCACCGAAAAGUGGCGGGUUACUUGAAAUGCAGGUGCAGCUGGACUUUUCUCUGAGCUAUAAGCAUAUCUAUUUAGUCUGCCUAAAAAACAGAUUAUUACCUUUGCUGCAGCUAACAUAAAGGAGAUUAGUUCUUGUGCUGACUGAUGCAGGAUUCACAAAGACGGCUUCGGCCGACUUUGUAAACUCGAUCUCAAAUCAAGUAAGACUACCCGCUGAACUUAAGCAUAUCAAUAAGCGGAGGA